rnacentral:ncRNA from 1 species
AUAAACGCGAUGAACGGGAGCAGUAGAAGGGAGCUGUCUACAGAGAGCUGCGGUUUUGGUGCAACGCAGCGGCAGCAAGCUUCGAAUCUCGCCCGGGAGCGGAAGAGGGAACGUCUGCAGGUCGGAUGAUUUGAUCGACCCGGAUCGAAUGCCAAGAAUGCAGAUAGGACUCUCUUACGGCGUUCCUCCGUCAUCGGGAAGUCCAUUCUCUUCAUGACCCGGCCGGCAUGAGGAGAUCAUGGACGGUGAGUGGACACGUGCGUGCGUUAGCAUCGCUGAACAGCAUGGCGUGUCAAUUAGAGUGGUACCACGGAGGGUCUUUAGCCCGUCGUCUCUUAU